rnacentral:rRNA from 1 species
GACGAACGCUGGCGGCGUGCCUAAUACAUGCAAGUAGAACGCUGAAGAGAGGAGCUUGCUCUUCUUGGAAGAGUUGCGAACGGGUGAGUAACGCGUAGGUAACCUGCCUUGUAGCGGGGGAUAACUAUUGGAAACGAUAGCUAAUACCGCAUAACAAUGGAUGACACAUGUCAUUUAUUUGAAAGGGGCAACUGCUCCACUACAAGAUGGACCUGCGUUGUAUUAGCUAGUAGGUGAGGUAACGGCUCACCUAGGCGACGAUACAUAGCCGACCUGAGAGGGUGAUCGGCCACACUGGGACUGAGACACGGCCCAGACUCCUACGGGAGGCAGCAGUAGGGAAUCUUCGGCAAUGGGGGCAACCCUGACCGAGCAACGCCGUGUGAGUGAAGAAGGUUUUCGGAUCGUAAAGCUCUGUUGUAAGUCAAGAACGAGUGUGGGAGUGGAAAGUUCACACUGUGACGGUAGCUUACCAGAAAGGGACGGCUAACUACGUGCCAGCAGCCGCGGUAAUACGUAGGUCCCGAGCGUUGUCCGGAUUUAUUGGGCGUAAAGCGAGCGCAGGCGGUUUGAUAAGUCUGAAGUUAAAGGCUGUGGCUCAACCAUAGUUCGCUUUGGAAACUGUCAAACUUGAGUGCAGAAGGGGAGAGUGGAAUUCCAUGUGUAGCGGUGAAAUGCGUAGAUAUAUGGAGGAACACCGGUGGCGGAAGCGGCUCUCUGGUCUGUAACUGACGCUGAGGCUCGAAAGCGUGGGGAGCGAACAGG